rnacentral:rRNA from 1 species
UAAUACAUGCAAGUAGAACGCUGAAGGAGGAGCUUGCUUCUCUGGAUGAGUUGCGAACGGGUGAGUAACGCGUAGGUAACCUGCCUGGUAGCGGGGGAUAACUAUUGGAAACGAUAGCUAAUACCGCAUAAGAGUAGAUGUUGCAUGACAUUUGCUUAAAAGGUGCAAUUGCAUCACUACCAGAUGGACCUGCGUUGUAUUAGCUAGUUGGUGAGGUAACGGCUCACCAAGGCAACGAUACAUAGCCGACCUGAGAGGGUGAUCGGCCACACUGGGACUGAGACACGGCCCAGACUCCUACGGGAGGCAGCAGUAGGGAAUCUUCGGCAAUGGACGGAAGUCUGACCGAGCAACGCCGCGUGAGUGAAGAAGGUUUUCGGAUCGUAAAGCUCUGUUGUAAGAGAAGAAACGAGUGUGAGAAGUGGAAAAGUUUCACAACUGUG